UGUCUAUGGUGGUUUUCUGUGCACGUAUGAAAAAAUACUUUUCAAACAACAUCUCUUUCUCUUGUUGUCCUGCUAUUUGCAAAUGAGAAACAAAAUGGGAGAGAGUUCUUAUCACUGUUGUUUCUUAGCUUUGAUGUGUUUACCUGUUCAUUCAUUCUAGCCGUUUUCUAAUGAUGAUGACCUGUUCCCCAACCAGUAACUUCAGUUGCAUUCUUCAAUCUGAAGAAGACGGUACUGGGAUAAAGGUGAUUAAACUUUUGGAGCAGUUUUAAAUUUUAGUGGCUCCUUCCUUUGAACUUUCCUUAAAAAUUCUGAGGAUGUGAAUAUACAAGGAAGUAAAAAUACAUUUGAUGACUGAGGGAACAAGAGAAAGUUGUGGUGCUGUAGAGGUUAAAGCACAGGUGGGUGACAUAGCACAUGACAGAGCUCUCUCAGGGAGAUGUCUAUGCUAUGGCUUGUUCUGUGUGCAGCAGCUUAAAACAAAUAGAUCUGAAAAUCCUUUGGAUCAUUCCUCAAAAAAAAAAAAGGUGCUUGAUGGUUAAGCCCAGAGUGAUUUUUUUUUAGCUAAAUUAUCAGCCUGUUAGUGCAUAAGGGUGUAAGGGGUUGAAUAGUGAAAUUCUGGAAUACCCUAGGCUAGAGCUUGCUGGCGGGCAUUGCUGCAAUAACACUAUAAUAGGCCAGGUGAAGAAGAGGUAGAAUAGAUGGGUACAUCUGCUGACAAUCUUUCUUUUUAAUUUGGAGCCACCUGAAGGCAGUAACUAGCAGAAUAAUAACCCGAUCCCCAUAUGGUUUCCGUUCUUUCAGAGUAAUAGUAUGCAGAAAAAAAAAAAAAAAAAAAAAAGAAAAAGCAGUCUACUUUUAGCUCUGGCUUCUGUUUGCCUCUUUGUGAGCCUGAGAACGUUUCCUGUCUGCUUGGUGAUGGGAAAUGUAACCAAAACAGACGUAGUAUCUGCGUGAGACUUAUUAAGGAGAGGGUGGUGGUCCCCAAGCUGAUAUUUUCUCCAAGUCCUUGCAAGAGGUGGUCGGUACAGCUCCUUAUCCCUACAUCACCAG
ensembl:lncRNA